rnacentral:rRNA from 1 species
UACGAAGGGGGCUAGCGUUGCUCGGAAUCACUGGGCGUAAAGCGCACGUAGGCGGAUUGUUAAGUCAGGGGUGAAAUCCUGGAGCUCAACUCCAGAACUGCCUUUGAUACUGGCGAUCUCGAGUCCGGAAGAGGUGAGUGGAACUGCGAGUGUAGAGGUGAAAUUCGUAGAUAUUCGCAAGAACACCAGUGGCGAAGGCGGCUCACUGGCCCGGUACUGACGCUGAGGCGCGAAGGCCAGGGGAGCAAACGGG